AGCGAACGCUGGCGGCAGGCUUAACACAUGCAAGUCGAGCGGGCGUAGCAAUACGUCAGCGGCAGACGGGUGAGUAACGCGUGGGAACGUACCUUUUGGUUCGGAACAACACAGGGAAACUUGUGCUAAUACCGGAUAAGUCCUUACGGGGAAAGAUUUAUCGCCGAAAGAUCGGCCCGCGUCUGAUUAGCUUGUUGGUGAGGUAACGGCUCACCAAGGCGACGAUCAGUAGCUGGUCUGAGAGGAUGAUCAGCCACAUUGGGACUGAGACACGGCCCAAACUCCUACGGGAGGCAGCAGUGGGGAAUAUUGGACAAUGGGGGAAACCCUGAUCCAGCCAUGCCGCGUGAGUGAUGAAGGCCCUAGGGUUGUAAAGCUCUUUUGUGCGGGAAGAUAAUGACGGUACCGCAAGAAUAAGCCCCGGCUAACUUCGUGCCAGCAGCCGCGGUAAU
rnacentral:rRNA from 1 species